CGCUGGCGGCGCGCCUAACACAUGCAAGUCGAACGAGAGAGAGGGAGCUUGCUUCCUCAAUCGAGUGGCGAACGGGUGAGUAACGCGUGAGGAACCUGCCUCAAAGAGGGGGACAACAGUUGGAAACGACUGCUAAUACCGCAUAAGCCCACGGCUCGGCAUCGAGCAGAGGGAAAAGGAGCAAUCCGCUUUGAGAUGGCCUCGCGUCCGAUUAGCUAGUUGGUGAGGUAAUGGCCCACCAAGGCGACGAUCGGUAGCCGGACUGAGAGGUUGAACGGCCACAUUGGGACUGAGACACGGCCCAGACUCCUACGGGAGGCAGCAGUGGGGAAUAUUGCACAAUGGGGGAAACCCUGAUGCAGCGACGCCGCGUGGAGGAAGAAGGUCUUCGGAUUGUAAACUCCUGUUGUUGAGGAAGAUAAUGACGGUACUCAACAAGGAAGUGACGGCUAACUACGUGCCAGCAGCCGCGGUAAAACGUAGGUCACAAGCGUUGUCCGGAAUUACUGGGUGUAAAGGGAGCGCAGGCGGGCGAUCAAGUUGGAAGUGAAAUCCAUGGGCUCAACCCAUGAACUGCUUUCAAAACUGAUUGUCUUGAGUAGUGCAGAGGUAGGCGGAAUUCCCGGUGUAGCGGUGGAAUGCGUAGAUAUCGGGAGGAACACCAGUGGCGGAGGCGGCCUACUGGGCACCAACUGACGCUGAGGCUCGAAAGUGUGGGUAGCAAACAGGAUUAGAGACCCUGGUAGUCCACACCGUAAACGAUGAUUACUAGGUGUUGGAGGAUUGACCCCUUCAGUGCCGCAGUUAACACAAUAAGUAAUCCACCUGGGGAGUACGACCGCAAGGUUGCAACUCAA
rnacentral:rRNA from 1 species